AUGGGUAUGGGUUCCAAGAUGAAGCGUAGCAGCAGCAGCCUUGUUGUAUCGUGUGUACUCCUCGGCCUAGCACUGCUCCUCGUCGGGGCGGCCGCCACCAGGAACAGCCGAAGCUCCUCCUGCAAAGCGCAGUGUAGCGGACGGGAGGACUACAAACCGUGCCACGUCGCGUGCCUUUGGGGCCUGCGUCUGGGAGAACCACCAAACUGCCACCUGCGCUGCCGCCACGCGAAAUCCUACGACGCCUGUUUCGAACAGUGCAAAAAAGAACAAGAAGCAAUAGGAGGAAGAGUUGCGCUACUGGUGGCGGCGGCAGAGGGGCAAAAGCAAGGACAAGAAGAAAGAGCAAAAGGAGCAGCUGGGCUCCUGGCGAUGCCGACCGAGCGCGCUGAAUGA
rnacentral:rRNA from 1 species